rnacentral:rRNA from 1 species
UGGGGAAUAUUGGACAAUGGGCGCAAGCCUGAUCCAGCCAUGCCGCGUGUGUGAAGAAGGCCUUUUGGUUGUAAAGCACUUUAAGCGAGGAGGAGGCUACUUGGAUUAAUACUCUAGGAUAGUGGACGUUACUCGCAGAAUAAGCCCCGGCUAACUCUGUGCCAGCAGCCGCGGUAAUACAGAGGGUGCGAGCGUUAAUCGGAUUUACUGGGCGUAAAGCGUGCGUAGGCGGCUUUUUAAGUCGGAUGUGAAAUCCCUGAGCUUAACUUAGGAAUUGCAUUCGAUACUGGGAAGCUAGAGUAUGGGAGAGGAUGGUAGAAUUCCAGGUGUAGCGGUGAAAUGCGUAGAGAUCUGGAGGAAUACCGAUGGAGAAGGCAGCCAUCUGGCCUAAUACUGACGCUGAGGUACGAAAGCAUGGGGAGCAAACAGG